rnacentral:rRNA from 1 species
UACGAAGGGGGCUAGCGUUGUUCGGAAUCACUGGGCGUAAAGAGCGUGUAGGCGGCCAAGUAGGUCCGGUGUGAAAACUCGAGGCUUAACCUCGAGAUGUCAUCGGAAACCAUUUGGCUAGAGUCCGGAAGAGGAAAGUGGAAUUCCUGGUGUAGCGGUGAAAUGCGCAGAUAUCAGGAAGAACACCCGUGGCGAAGGCGGGUAGCUGGGCCGACACUGACGCUGAUGCGCGAAAGCCAGGGGAGCGAACGGGG